CUACGGGGGGCACCAGGGACGAAAACUUUACAAUGCGCGAAAGCGUGAUAAGGGGAUUCUGAGUGGCAUUGGCUUUGCUAAUGUCUUUUGCUAAGUGUAAACAGCUUGGAGAAUAAGGGUGUGGGAAAGACUGGUGGCAGCCGCCGCGGUAAUACCAGCGCCUCGAGUGGUACCCACGUAUACUGGGCCUAAAGCGUACGUAGCCGGUUUAGUAAGUCUACUGUGAAAUCUUGGAGCUUAACUCUAAGGCGUGCAGUAGAUACUGUUAGACUAGAGAGCGGGGGAGAUAAGGAGUACACCUGGGGUAGGGGUAAAAUCCGUUGAGCCUAGGUGGACUAUCAGUGGCGAAGGCGCCUUAUCAAAACGCAUCUGACGGUGAGGUACGAAGGCUAGGGGAGCGAACGGGAUUAGAUACCCGAGUAGUC
rnacentral:rRNA from 1 species